rnacentral:rRNA from 1 species
UACGUAGGGUGCGAGCGUUAAUCGGAAUUACUGGGCGUAAAGCGUGCGCAGGCGGUUUUGUAAGCCAGAUGUGAAAGCCCCGGGCUUAACCUGGGAAUGGCAUUUGGGACUGCAAGGCUUGAGUGCGGCAGAGGAGACUGGAAUUCCUGGUGUAGCAGUGAAAUGCGUAGAUACUGGGAGGAACACCAGUGGCGAAGGCGGCUACCUGGACCGGUUCUGACACUGAGGCGCGAAAGCGUGGGGAGCAAACAGG